rnacentral:rRNA from 1 species
CCUACGGGGGUCUGCAGUGGGGGAUGUUGCACAAUGGGGGAAACCCUGAUGCAGCGACGCCGCGUGAGUGAAGAAGUAUUUCGGUAUGUAAAGCUCUAUCAGCAGGGAAGAAAAUGACAGUACCUGACCAAGACGCCCCGGCUAACUCCGUGCCAGCAGCCGGGGUAAUACGUAGGGGGCAAGCGUUAUCCGGAUGUACGGGGUGUAAAGGGAUCGUAGACGGUUAUGUAAGGCUGGAGUGAAAGCCCGGGGCCCAACCCCGGGACUGCGUUGGAAACUGUGUAACUGGAGUACAGGAGGGGCAGGCGGAAUUCCCGGUGUAGCGGUGAAAUGCGUAGAUAUCAGGAGGAACACCGGCGGCGAAGGCGGCCUGCUGGACUGAAACUGACGUUGAGGCUCGAAAGCGUGGGGAGCAAACAGGAUUAGAUACCCCUGUAGUC